CCCCACUGAUACAUAAGUCUCACAACAAGAGGAAAAGACACUUCUGUUUUCAUUUUUUCAGGGUGGAGGGUGGAAAUGAAAAACCUGAGGUCUGGCUCUGUGAUGUCCUUCUGCAUAUCCACAGGCAAGUCAUUCUCGCUGUCACUCUGCUCCUGAAGUCUCUCCACUGUCAUUCUGCUCCUGAAGUCUCUCCACAUCUACUCCAAGAUGACAUUUUGUGUCCUGCAUAUGUGCAUGUGCCUCUUCAUCCCCCCAGAUGACUUCUAUGCUCAUAC
rnacentral:lncRNA from 12 species